rnacentral:rRNA from 1 species
UACGUAGGGUGCAAGCGUUAAUCGGAAUUACUGGGCGUAAAGCGUGCGCAGGCGGUGAUGUAAGACAGAUGUGAAAUCCCAGGGCUCAACCUGGGAACUGCAUUUGUGACUGCAUCGCUAGAGUACGGCAGAGGGGGAUGGAAUUCCGCGUGUAGCAGUGAAAUGCGUAGAUAUGCGGAGGAACACCGAUGGCGAAGGCAAUCCCCUGGGCCUGUACUGACGCUCAUGCACGAAAGCGUGGGGAGCAAACAGG